rnacentral:lncRNA from 12 species
CCGUCCCAGGGCCCGGCUUUCCCUGAAGAGCCCCAGGGUGUGAGUUAGUCCACGUCCCUCUGGUUGCAGCCGCUCUUCUCCGGCGGCCCCUGCCCGCCCGACCCUCAGAGGCUGCUCGGGGAACAGAGGGCGCUGCUGGUGCGGGCCAUGGGCGGGCGAGGCCGGGUGACAAGUCCCACCCCUUGGAGCUGGGAGCCACGUGUCCCCAGUGAGACGAGGCUGCACGGUGGCCGCGCGGGGGGACACGAGGCCCUCCUGCCUCCGACCCUGGCCGUGCGGCGCUCCCGGGGCGCUGACGGAGGCCUCACCUGACACGGGGGUGACCUGUGGACGCUGCUGGCUGCCCCCCAAACCUCACGGUCACAGUCGGCCUGGAGGGGAGCAGGAGAGGCUGAGACAGACAGGAAAGCGCACCCCGAGCUUCGACAGCCCGGGGAGCCCCCAGAUCCACCAGAGCUCUCCCUGCUGGGGGCGGGAAACGGCCCGGGGAAGGCGCCAGGGGUCACACGGCCAGUUGGCGCCCAGGACUCCGCGCGGGCUCCGAGGGUCGGCGUCCCCGUGCCACGGUGUCAGGGCGAGUCUCCGGCUGCCAAGCUGUCGGUGACCGGUGACCGUCGCUGCAGAUCAAGGAACAAAAAUUGUAUUUACGCUCCUGGCAAGCAGCUGAUUUUCCUGAUCGCCCACCCGGCUGCACACGGCUCCACAGCGUCGGGUGGGGAGCGACUCCUUGUCCCUGAGACUGUGAACCGCAGAGAGAGGCCGUCUGGGGCCGGGAACCCCCUGCCCCCCACAAGCCCUCCUGGCCUCCCUCCGGCCUCCUGUCCCUGCUUCUCUCCCGUCACUUGCUCUUCCCGGCACCGGGUCUCCAGUGUCUUUGCCUGCCCUGUCCCCACCGACUCCUGGCGUGCCCCCCGGGAGAGGUGGCCUGCUGGCAGCUCUCCCUCCCCAGACCUCACUCCAUCCUAA